AUUGGGGCAGGGAUUCUAGGUGCCUCAGACCCUUGUAUGGAAGGUGGCAACAGCAGGACAGAUCAGUUAAUGAGUUUGCUGGCUGGGAUGCUAAUAGGAACAGCUAAUUUUAGAUGACUAUUAGAAGGUAUUAAUGGAAGCGACUUGCUACGUUUGAGGAGUCUCUGCAAAAUUCCCGGUCCUGAGAGAUGAAGGCUGCUUUUGUGAUGGUGGACAUCAAAGGAGAGUUUUGAGGAGAGAGUUGAAGGUGGAUAAUGAAGUAGCUCUGGCGUGUUUACCCCAAGUAUGUGGGGCAGCAUGAAGGAAAGCACAAAGGUGUUUGGAAAGUGAACAAGUGGUCUAAUGAAAUAUUAGAGGGAACAUAGGACGGCGCCCUAGCCUGCUUCCUGGAUGAUCAACCCUUCCUGGAGCUCUACACAGUUUGCUAGGAGCCCCACCCUGGCUGAGGGCCUGGGCCCCCUAAACCACUCGUGGCUACUCUGCCUAAGGGUUAAAGACUUCGACUGCACGGUGCCCCACCAUGCCUGAGGGCCUGGACCCCUGAACUGUUCACAGCCCUACUCUGCCUGUGAGUUGGGGCCGGAGACUGCUAAUUGCCCCAUUUGCUUCAGGAGCGUGUGGCAAAGGAGCGUAGCCUCCCUCAGAGACGACAGUGAGGGAGAGCCACACACACCUACACACUUACAGUGCUGAAAUUGGAUCUGAGUCUGUUCUCAGUUGCAUUGGGCUAGGGCAAUAUAUCUACAGGAUCUGGCUCAACAUGCUAAUGCCAUACAGUACAUGGAUGAUAAUGUAGUUAUCACCUACAAUCUCACUUUGACAGACAAUAGGGUUCAGAAACAUCAGGCAAACCUUUGUCCCACCCAGGUCAAGGGACUGCUCUUUUACAGAUGAAAGUGUAAUCUCGCAGCACUGCAGUGUUAUUUAACUACCUGGCAGUUCGUUGGUGCUUGAAUAGCUGAGCAAAGUGGAGUUUAGGGAAAGAUUUGCAAGAGGAGAAGGUGGUGGUUUUGCACACAAGGAGCAGGAUGCAGUCCUCAUCGUUUCAGUGAGCAUGGAAGAUAAGCAUGGAAAUGAAGUAGAAGAAACAUGAAGGAGGAAGAAAGAGAGAGGAAAAUCAGAGUGAGAGUGGAAGGGAUAUAAACCGUUCUGGGUAAAGUCUUAAUCCAAACUCUAAUUCUUGGGGGGUCAAGAGGAAACUUUCCCUGAGGGCAGGUUAUCCCAUCACUGCCACUAGAUGGAUCACUGAUCUGAACCAAUAUGGUAAAUCCUGUGUUCCUGUGCAAGAGGAUAGUGGUAAAGAAUGAGUCCGGUGAUGUAAACAGGAACAGAAGCUGAGGUUCAGCAGUUUGAAAUCCCAUAUUUAUGCUACACUCCUGCUGUCAUAUGCAUGUCAUGUUUCCUCCCAUUUUCUAUAUUUGGUUCUCAGCAUAAAUAACUUUAAUUUCCUUUCCUUUGUCAUAUGUGAAAACAGAUGUCAGAAUUCACAUAAGCUGUUAUGACUGCUCUGUGUGUGUGAGUGAGUGGGAGAGAGAUUUCUAGGACAGAAUUCUGCUUCCUUUACCAGCACUAGAAACCCCAAAAGACCAUUCAUAUGAGUUAGAUGAGCAGGAUGUGGUCCCUCAUUCAUUGUUCUAGCCUUGCAUGGUUUUGAGUAAUACAAACUAGUAAUUACUUGACGGCGAAAAUGCAACCAAGCCCCUUUGAUUGAGGAUUUGCUUCAUUACAAUUUCCUGCUGCAUUGGAUGAUAAAGACUUUCCACCUCUGUGCAUCUGAUGAUUUGGACCUACAUGU